rnacentral:rRNA from 1 species
CAAACGGGUGAGGAAUGCAUGGGUAACCUGUCCUUGAGAAGGGAAUAACCCACCGAAAGGUGAGCUAAUACCCUAUACGUUUCACUUUUUUUGGAAAGUGAAAGAAAGCUAGGCCGAGGGCCUGGCGCUCGUGGAGGGGCUCAUGUCCUAUCAGCUUGUUGGUGGGGUAACGGCCUACCAAGGCAACGACGGGUAGCUGGUCUGAGAGGAUGAUCAGCCACACUGGCACUGAGAUACGGGCCAG